rnacentral:rRNA from 1 species
CCUACGGGUGGCAGCAGUGGGGAAUAUUGGACAAUGGGGGCAACCCUGAUCCAGCCAUGCCGCGUGUGUGAAGAAGGCCCUCGGGUUGUAAAGCACUUUCAGUGAGGAAGAACGCCUGGUGGUUAAUACCCAUCAGGAAAGACAUCACUCACAGAAGAAGCACCGGCUAACUCCGCGCCAGCAGCCGCGGUAAUACGGAGGGUGCGAGCGUUAAUCGGAAUUACUGGGCGUAAAGCGCGCGUAGGUGGCUUGAUAAGCCGGUUGUGAAAGCCCCGGGCUCAACCUGGGAACGGCAUCCGGAACUGUCAAGCUAGAGUGCAGGAGAGGAAGGUAGAAUUCCCGGUGUAGCGGUGAAAUGCGUAGAGAUCGGGAGGAAUACCAGUGGCGAAGGCGGCCUUCUGGACUGACACUGACACUGAGGUGCGAAAGCGUGGGUAGCAAACAGGAUUAGAUACCCGAGUAGUC